rnacentral:lncRNA from 10 species
CAGGCAACUGUUCUCUCUAACUCCCCACAGUCACCCCUGAGGUAGGUGUGCUGUGGCUGGGGCCGGGGGCUGUCUGCCUUUUACAAGUGAGGAAACCACUGAGCGGUUUAUCUACAGGAUCACAUUUGGCCCUAAGGAAACGGAGGUUAAUGAUUUGCCCGGAGCCCCCAGUGAACCAGUGGCAGCACUGAGGUUGGAAGCCAGGUCUUUUAUUUUGAAGCUCUGAUCCUUUUCAUUGUUUUUUGAUUUUUUUGUUUUGUCUUUUUAAGAGACAGGGUCUUGCUUUGUCGCCCAGGCUGGAGUGCAGUGGUGAGAUGAUAGCUGCUCAUUGCAGCCGUGAACUCCCAAGCUGAAGCCAUCCUCCCACCUCAGCCUCCCAAAGUUCUGGGUCUUGGUGUUUCCAUCUGUGCUGAGCUGCCUUCUUAGCGAAGAUCUGC